AUGACGGUCCUAAGGUAGCGAAAUUCCUUGCGGGGUAAGUUCCCGCCUGCACGAAAGGCGUAACGAUCUGGGCACUGUCUUGGAGAGAAUCUCGGUGAAAUAAACAUAUCUGUGAAGAUGCGGAUUAUUUAUACCUGGACAGAAAGACCCUAUGAAGCUUGACUGUAAUUUGUGAUUGGAUCUGGGCUUCUCUUGCGCAGUCUAAGUGGGAGGCAUUGAUGAAUUCUUUUCGGGGAAUUCUGAGCCGAUAUUGAGAGACCACUCUGGAAAAGUUAAGAUUCUAAAGAUAUUCCUUGAAUCAGGAUAUCUGACAGUCUCAGGUGGACAGUUUCACUGGGGCGGUGACCUCCUAAAGAGUAACGGAGGUGUACAAAGGUUCCUUCAAGCUGGACGGAAAUCAGCUGAAGAGUGCAAAGGCAAAAGGGAGCUUGACUGCAAGACUUACAAGUCAAGCAGAGACGAAAGUCGGUCUUAGUGAUCCGACGGUUCCGAGUGGAAGGGCCGUCGCUCAACGGAUAAAAGUUACUCUAAGGAUAACAGGCU
rnacentral:rRNA from 1 species